rnacentral:rRNA from 1 species
UAGGGAAUCUUCGGCAAUGGACGAAAGUCUGACCGAGCAACGCCGCGUGAGUGAAGAAGGUUUUCGGAUCGUAAAACUCUGUUGGUAGAGAAGAACGUUGGUGAGAGUGGAAAGCUCAUCAAGUGACGGUAACUACCCAGAAAGGGACGGCUAACUACGUGCCAGCAGCCGCGGUAAUACGUAGGUCCCGAGCGUUGUCCGGAUUUAUUGGGCGUAAAGCGAGCGCAGGUUGUUUAUUAAGUCUGGUGUAAAAGGCAGUGGCUCAACCAUUGUAUGCAUUGGAAACUUGUAGACUUGAGUGCAGGAGAGGAGAGUGGAAUUCCAUGUGUAGCGGUGAAAUGCGUAGAUAUAUGGAGGAACACCGGUGGCGAAAGCGGCUCUCUGGCCUGUAACUGACACUGAGGCUCGAAAGCGUGGGGAGCAAACA